UCCGGAGGGGGCUAGCGUUGUUCGGAAUUACUGGGCGUAAAGCGCACGUAGGCGGACUGGAAAGUCAGAGGUGAAAUCCCAGGGCUCAACCUUGGAACUGCCUUUGAAACUCCCGGUCUUGAGGUCGAGAGAGGUGAGUGGAAUUCCGAGUGUAGAGGUGAAAUUCGUAGAUAUUCGGAGGAACACCAGUGGCGAAGGCGGCUCACUGGCUCGAUACUGACGCUGAGGUGCGAAAGCGGGGGGAGAAAACAGG
rnacentral:rRNA from 1 species